rnacentral:rRNA from 1 species
GGUGUCGCGGAAUGUGGUGUUUAGGAGGACCGUGCGCGUCUGUCCGGCAUCGUCCAAGUCUCCAUGAAUGGGGCCAGCAACCCAGAGAGGGUGUCAGGCCCGUAGGACUGAGCCGCGACGGCGUAUUGGGUCUCUCCUUAGAGUCGGGUUGCUUGAGAGUGCAGCCCUAAGUGGGAGGUAAACUCCUUCUAAGGCUAAAUACGGCCACGAGACCGAUAGCGAACAAGUACCGCGAGGGAAAGUUGAAAAGAACUUUGAAGAGAGAGUUCAAUAGUGCGUGAAACCGUUCAGGGGGUUAAACGGGUGGGCCCUCGAAGGUCGAACGCUCCCUACUCGCGUCUCCGCUCGUCGGUCCGUGCCGCUUUUCCGAUCUCGCUACGGGACGGAGCGGUGCGGUAACUGGUGCGAGCGGGGGCGUUUAGUUAGGGGGCCAGUAGGACUCCGCAACCGUCUGGAGCAGUCGUCAGAAGGGCCCUGGUAGAAAGCCUCCUCGCGGGGUGGACUCUGGGGUUCCGGGCGAUCUCUCCGGCCGUGAACCGGCAUUCCACUCGGCUGGCGUCCGUGACGAGCUUCCCCUUUUCACGGGGGGGGAGUUGUCGGUUGCGGGCGUCACUGGGGGACGCUAGCGGAGAGUAGAGUCGGGUCCCACCCGACCCGUCUUGAAACACGGACCAAGGAGUCUAACAUGUGCGCGAGUCGUCGG